AUUUCAGAAACAGCCAAUUCUGUUGGCCUUUGGCAGUAAAUAUCCACAGAACCACCACCUCUCCAACCAUGAAGACAAAACAACAAUUGUGUUUGAUUUCUCUACAGGUCUGGCUGGAAUCGUUUAUCUAUUACUUUUAACAGUAGUUUAAGUAGAUAUGUCAUUUUAUAAUUUGUUGCACAUAGUGACAAUUGUUUCCUUCCAAUUCCAAAUAGGAUUUCUCUCAGAUCUUUCUGCAUAAACCUCAUUUUAGUGAACCACAUAAUAGAAUACUAUAUUUCAACUCAAAAUUACCACAUUCAGCAGUUGAAGCAGAAAAGUAUUUUAUCUAAACUGGUGUCUUUUUUAUAUAUAUAUAUAUAACUCUGCAUGAUGAAGCAUGACAUUCUGUGAUGUAUAACCUUUUGAGUGCAUAAACUUGAUGAACUAUACGUUGACAGGUUGUACGGGUCAUGUAUCCCAUGAAUUGACUCAGAUGAGAACGAAACAUGGAAUUUUGGGCAUAAUAGGGUGGGGUCUGAUCCUGCCUGUAGGGGCAAUUAUUGCUCGAUAUUUCAGGCACAACGAUCCCUUAUGGCUCUAUCUCCAUGCAAUCAUUCAGUUUGUGGGAUUCACAUUUGGGCUUAGUACAAUCCUUCUUGGAUUACAACUCUAUUCCAAAAUGCAUGCCCAUAUAUAAGCUCACAGAGGCAUAGGCAUCUUUGCCCUUGUACUAACUAUUCUUCAGCAAUUGUUCUUGAAGUAUUGGCAUAUUUGAAAAGAUCAGAGAUGCGUUCUCUACCUCCUAACAUCCAAAUAGACCUCGUUGGAGGAGCUACAUUUCCAAAGAAUGUGAUUGCUACUAGUUUUACAGUUCUACAAACGCUGUCAAUUGUUCCAUUUAAAGCAGCCUAUACAUUUGAAUUCUUUUUGGCAUGUUCCUUGUUGCCAUUUCUGGUUGUGCUUUUCCUGAUGUACAUAUUGGGGGAAAUGCGUACAUAACCAGCUACGAGUUUGCCUAGUUGGAGAAUCCCUGUUCGGUAUUCUCACUCAAUUUCACCAGAUUGAAGUCGUUCUUUUGAAGAUUGCCAAGAAUGUAAAUGACGAUUCAUAAGAGCUUUCUAUUUACAGUUACAUUUUAUAAUUCGUAGCCUUUUUUCUUCUGGAGAUAUAUGUAUUGGAAUUUAAGAAUCAUACUUUGUUCUUUGUUGAAUGACAAAAGAUUACAUUCAUUAGUACCUUCUUCAAGAGAUAUGUUUCGAAAAAUGAUUUAACUUGAAAGGAAAUUACAGAGUUCAUCGCAUUACCAGUUGUAUUACAAUUUGCUAAUGAUUUUAAAUGUAGU